GCCGAAUCAGACUGUAAGAAACGCAACGCUGCUGCAGCUGGCCUGGGUUCUGACUCGGAGUACUCUUCGGACGAAGAAGAAGAUCUAAGUCCCUCCAAGAAAACUAAGGCCAGCAGUCAGAGCAAGAUCAAGGCUGCAAAGAAGGAGACGUCCAAAAAAAAGGCUGGGAAGAACAGUAAAUCUCUCAGCGGCAUUUACGAGGAGCUGUUUGGAGACGCCUGCG